rnacentral:rRNA from 1 species
GACGAACGCUGGCGGCGUGCUUAACACAUGCAAGUCGAACGGAAAGGCCCUGCUUUUGUGGGGUGCUCGAGUGGCGAACGGGUGAGUAACACGUGAGUAACCUGCCCUUGACUUUGGGAUAACUUCAGGAAACUGGGGCUAAUACCGGAUAGGAGCUCCUGCUGCAUGGUGGGGGUUUGAAAGUUUCGGCGGUUGGGGAUGGACUCGCGGCUUAUCAGCUUGUUGGUGGGGUAGUGGCUUACCAAGGCUUUGACGGGUAGCCGGCCUGAGAGGGUGACCGGCCACAUUGGGACUGAGAUACGGCCCAGACUCCUACGGGAGGCAGCAGUGGGGAAUAUUGCACAAUGGGCGGAAGCCUGAUGCAGCAACGCCGCGUGCGGGAUGACGGCCUUCGGGUUGUAAACCGCUUUCGCCUGUGACGAAGCGUGAGUGACGGUAAUGGGUAAAGAAGCACCAGCUAACUACGUG